rnacentral:lncRNA from 1 species
GACAAAACCAUAGGUCCCAAAACUGCCUUUUUAAUAGCUUGCUUGAACAAUCUCUCUCCUCUAACAUCCUUAGCCCCCAAAAAUGUUUUCACCCAACAAAGGCUUUCAUCUUCUUCCACAGACGCCACUGGGAAGAAGAAUUGCUAUAGUGACACGAAUCCACAAAAUAAGAAAGCCAAGGUAUAUGUAGUUUUCCGCAAAAUUGAAAUUGGGGUUUUUGAUUCUUGGCCAGAGUUCGCAUCUCGAGUAUUAGGCAUUAGCAAUGCCUUGUACAGAUCUUAUGAAAGUAAGGACGAUGUUGUGAAAGCAUAUCGUGUGUUCUUCGAUUUAAUCGUUGCACCUCUAUCAGUUCAAAGGUCAUCAAGGUCGAGUUUAUCCCUAACUGGGUAUGCAGGAGCGAACUUGAAAUCAAGCAUGGCAAUAUCUGAAGGAGGAAUCGAGGAAGAGAUUGAAUAUCCAUUGUCGACCAUUGACAAUACCGAUUGUUACGAAGCUGAAGCGGAAGCAAAGGAUGAAUCUGCAAUUAUAAAUUGUAGGGAGGGAAAGUACUUAAGUUUGAUAGCUGGCUUUUUUGUUGGCAUGUUUUUUGGUAUAUGUAUUUGCAUUUAUAAAUUUUAGUUAAUAUAAUCUACCCGUCUAUGGCUUAAAUCCCAAUGGAGAAGCCAAGAAUGCUGAAAUUAUAUUGCAGUUGAGUUAAAAUUUUACCAGUACAAUAUGAUGAUUUGCUAUUGUCAUCUAGUCAAUGCCUUGCUAAAGUUUCAUGUUGAAAUGACUGUCUGAGUUGCAAUUUAGCUUGAAAUCCAGUUGUUCAAUUAAUCUGUGUUUGAAUCUUUUGAUUAGGAGCAACAUUUGAGCUUUGAAGAAUGAAAAAGGAACCGUGAUACUAGUUCUGAG